rnacentral:lncRNA from 1 species
CGGAUGACACGAAUGAAAAUUUAAGUAUUGAUGGGUGUCUUUGGAUUUAUAAUAAAUAUCCGUUGUUAUAUGUCUGCCUGAUUUUAAGAUGAGGAUAUCCAGAAAUGGUAGUUGUGUGUCACUGGUUUCCGUGGUGAAUUUAAUCGACGGAUGUAAGGAGUUGAUUAGAUCUUUAAAUUUAUAUAAAUCUUUUUCUGAUCUGCUCCAAAAUAUUAUGCAGUCAUCUAAAUAUCUUUUCCAAAACUGAAUGACA